GACGAACGCUGGCGGCAGGCUUAACACAUGCAAGUCGAGCGGAGAUGAGGUGCUUGCACCUUAUCUUAGCGGCGGACGGGUGAGUAAUGCUUAGGAAUCUGCCUAUUAGUGGGGGACAACAUUCCGAAAGGAAUGCUAAUACCGCAUACGUCCUACGGGAGAAAGCAGGGGAUCUUCGGACCUUGCGCUAAUAGAUGAGCCUAAGUCGGAUUAGCUAGUUGGUGGGGUAAAGGCCUACCAAGGCGACGAUCUGUAGCGGGUCUGAGAGGAUGAUCCGCCACACUGGGACUGAGACACGGCCCAGACUCCUACGGGAGGCAGCAGUGGGGAAUAUUGGACAAUGGGGGGAACCCUGAUCCAGCCAUGCCGCGUGUGUGAAGAAGGCCUUAUGGUUGUAAAGCACUUUAGGCGAGGAGGAGGCUACUGAGACUAAUACUCUUGGAUAGUGGACGUUACUCGCAGAAUAAGCACCGGCUAACUCUGUGCCAGCCGCCGCAGUAAAAC
rnacentral:rRNA from 1 species